UCCUGUUUAUUUUUAAUGGUUGAUACGA
rnacentral:sRNA from 1 species